CUAUUCUAGGCUGGUCGAGGUUCCCCGCGUCCGGCAGGACAUGGGGCUAAGACGGGAAGCCGGUGCGCCUUUCGGGGCAAGGCCGGCGCUGCCCCCGCAACUGUAAGCGGUGAGCGGUGGUCGAUACGUGUCACUGGUUCGGCAAGGAACCGGGAAGGCCAGACCCCCGCGUCGAUCCGUGAGCCAGGAGACCUGCCUCGUCAGAUAACGUCCU
rnacentral:ncRNA from 2 species